rnacentral:rRNA from 1 species
UUUUUAGUGAAUCAAAUGUUAUCAUCCGGCAUUGAAAAUUGAAAUGUUUUUAUAAAGGAGGAAUUAUUAGGAAUCUUUGGUUAGUUAUUUAAAGGUGGACAGGAGAUAAAUUUUGCACAUACAGCCCGUCAAGCAAAAAGCAGUGAUGUAGAUGUAAACAGACCAGCACACAAGUGUGUAAUAACGUGCUAAUUUUAGUUAAGUCGAAACAUGGUU